rnacentral:rRNA from 1 species
AUGCGUAACAUUAGCUAGUUGGGAGGGUAACGGCCUACCAAGGCAACGAUGUUUAGGGGACCUGAGAGGGUGACCCCCCACACUGGUACUGAGACACGGACCAGACUCCUACGGGAGGCAGCAGUGAGGAAUAUUGGUCAAUGGGCGAGAGCCUGAACCAGCCAUCCCGCGUGAAGGAAGAAGGCGCUAUGCGUUGUAAACUUCUUUUUCAGGGGGAUAAAAUUCUGUAUGUAUACGGAACUGAAGGUACCCUGAGAAUAAGCAUCGGCUAACUCCGUGCCAGCAGCCGCGGUAAUACGGAGGAUGCGAGCGUUAUCCGGAUUUAUUGGGUUUAAAGGGUGCGUAGGCGGAAGAAUAAGUCAGUGGUGAAACCCUGCAGCUUAACUGUAGACUUGCCAUUGAUACUGUUUUUCUUGAGUAUGGUCAAGGCAGGCGGAAUGUGUAAUGUAGCGGUGAAAUGCUUAGAUAUUACACAGAACACCGAUAGCGAAGGCAGCUUGCUGGGCCGUUACUGACGCUGAUGCACGAAAGCGUGGGGAUCGAACAGGAUUAGAUACCCUGGUAGUCCACGCCGUAAACGAUGAUCACUAGCUGUUGGCGAUACACCGAUCAGCGGCAAAGCAAAAGCAUUAAGUGAUCCACCUGGGGAGUACGGCCGCAAGGCUGAAACUCAAAUGAAUUGACGG